UAGAGUUUGAUCCUGGCUCAGGAUGAACGCUGGCGGCGUGCCUAAUACAUGCAAGUCGAGCGAACGGACGAGAAGCUUGCUUCUCUGAUGUUAGCGGCGGACGGGUGAGUAACACGUGGAUAACCUACCUAUAAGACUGGGAUAACUUCGGGAAACCGGAGCUAAUACCGGAUAAUAUUUUGAACCGCAUGGUUCAAAAGUGAAAGACGGUCUUGCUGUCACUUAUAGAUGGAUCCGCGCUGCAUUAGCUAGUUGGUAAGGUAACGGCUUACCAAGGCAACGAUGCAUAGCCGACCUGAGAGGGUGAUCGGCCACACUGGAACUGAGACACGGUCCAGACUCCUACGGGAGGCAGCAGUAGGGAAUCUUCCGCAAUGGGCGAAAGCCUGACGGAGCAGCGCCGCGUGAGUGAUGAAGGUCUUCGGAUCGUAAAACUCUGUUAUUAGGGAAGAACAUAUGUGUAAGUAACUGUGCACAUCUUGACGGUACCUAAUCAGAAAGCCACGGCUAACUACGUGCCAGCAGCCCCGGUCAA
rnacentral:rRNA from 1 species